rnacentral:lncRNA from 1 species
AGAUGUUUCUUUCUAACAAUGGUCAGAUUGGCCGAGCUACACUCGAAUCUGAUCAUUCAUUUGUCAAAUGUACUGAAUUCUGACAUGUUAAUGGUUGAACCUAACAAGGAUUUUCAGUGGAGGCACCACACGCCUACUGAAGAGGUGCCUGGGAUAAAAUUAACUAUUAGAAAUUAUUUGAUGAAAUAAUUGGUUAAAAAUCUAUCCAUAGGUGCACAA